rnacentral:rRNA from 1 species
AUUGAACGCUGGCGGCAGGCCUAACACAUGCAAGUCGAACGAGUGGCGGACGGGUGAGUAAUGUCUGGGAAACUGCCUGAUGGCGGGGGAUAACUACUGGAACCGGUAGCUAAUACCGCAUACCAUCAGAUUUGCCCAGAUGGGAUUGGCUAGUUGUGGGGGUAACGGCUAACAAAGGCGACGAUCCCUAGCUGGUCUGAGAGGAGGACCAGACAAAUGGGAAAUGGGAAACGGUCAAGACUCUGACGGGAGGAAGAAGUGGGGAAUAUUGCACAAUGGGCGCAAGCCUGAUGCAGCAAGGCGGUGGGGAGGAAGAAGGCCUUCGGGUUGUAAAGUACGUUCAGCGGGGAGGCGGUAACCGAACAAGAAGAGCCGGCUAACUCCGUGCCAGCAGCCGCGGUAAUUC